rnacentral:rRNA from 1 species
GGUAGCUCAACUAUCGCAGUGCCUUUGAAACUGCCGGGCUUUGAAUGUACUUGAGGUGGGCGGAAUGUGACAAGUAGCGGUGAAAUGCAUAGAUAUGUCACAGAACCCCGAUUGCGAAGGCAGCUCACUAAAGUAUGAUUGACGCUGAUGCACGAAAGCGUGGGGAUCAAACAGGAUUAGAUACCCUGGUAGUCCACGCCCUAAACGAUGAAUACUCGAUGUUGGCGAUACACCGUCAGCGUCCACGCGAAAGCAUUAAGUAUUCCACCUGGGGAGUACGUCCGCAAGGAUGAAACUCAAAGGAAUUGACGGGGGCCCGCACAAGCGGAGGAGCAUGUGGUUUAAUUCGAUGAUACGCGAGGAACCUUACCCGGGCUUGAAAGUUAGCGAAGAUUCCAGAGAUGGGAUCGUCCUUCGGGACGCGAAACUAGGUGCUGCAUGGCUGUCGUCCGCUCGUGCCGUGAGGUGUUGGGUUAAGUCCCGCAACGAGCGCAACCCCUAUGUUUAGUUGCCAGCACGUAAUGGUGGGGACUCUAGACAGACUGCCUGUGCAACCAGAGAGGAAGGUGGGGACGACGUCAAGUCAUCAUGGCCCUUACGUCCGGGGCUACACACGUGCUACAAUGGUCGGUACAGAGGGCAGCUACCUGGCAACAGGAUGCCAAUCUCAUAAAGCCGAUCACAGUUCGGAUCGGGGUCUGCAACUCGACCCCGUGAAGUUGGAUUCGCUAGUAAUCGCAGAUCAGCAAUGCUGCGGUGAAUACGUUCCCGGGCCUUGCACACACCGCCCGU